GAGGCGAAUGGCUUCCUCUGCCUCCUGCUCCUGCCUCGAUGUACUGACUGUGCUGUCACAGGCCCAAACAAGGGGCCAGGGAGUCCUGGUGUGGUACUCUGAGUGAGAACAGCCCCCACAGGCUUGUAAGAAGUAAGCUCUUAGCUAAUGCUGCCUGCCUGCUGCCAUGCUCCCCACCACUGUGGUCAUGGGCUUCUCCUUGGGAACCGUAAGGACGCCCACAACUAAUGCUUUUCUAAAGUUGCCUUCAUCACGGUGUCUCUUCACAGCGAUUGAACAGUAACUAAGACACGUGAACUGAAACCUCUAAAACUGUGCGCUAAAAUCAUCUCUUCUAUGUUUAAGUUGGUUUUCUCAGGUAACCGUUACAUUGAUGGAAAGCUGGCAGACACACCUGAUAAUCAAAAAUAAAGAAAGGUAUCGUCUA